AAGGAGAAAUCUGCCUGAAGAAGAGCUCGCGUCUGAUUAGCUAGUUGGUGGGGUAAAGGCUUACCAAGGCGACGAUCGGUAGCUGGUCUGAGAGGACGAUCAGCCACACUGGGACUGAGACACGGCCCAGACUCCUACGGGAGGCAGCAGUGGGGAAUUUUCCGCAAUGGGCGAAAGCCUGACGGAGCAAGACCGCGUGAGGGAGGAAGGCUCUUGGGUUGUAAACCUCUUUUCUCAGGGAAGAACACAAUGACGGUACCUGAGGAAUCAGCAUCGGCUAACUCCGUGCCAGCAGCCGCGGUAAUACGGAGGAUGCAAGCGUUAUCCGGAAUCAUUGGGCGUAAAGCGUCCGUAGAUGGUUAUUCAAGUCUGUCGWCAAAGACUGGGGCUUAACCCCAGAAAGGCGGUGGAAACUGACUAGCUAGAGUAUGGUAGGGGUAGAGGGAAUUCCCAGUGUAGCGGUGAAAUGCGUAGAGAUUGGGGAAGAACACCAGUGGCGAAAGCGCUCUACUGGGCCAUAACUGACAUUGAGGGACGAAAGCUAGGGGAGCGAAUGGGAUUAGAUACCCCAGUAGUCCUAGCCGUAAACGAUGGAUACUAGAUGUUGCCUGUAUCGACCCAGGCAGUGUCGUAGCCAACGCGUUA
rnacentral:rRNA from 1 species